AUGCCUACGGGACGCAGCCGUAGGGAAUCUUCCCCAAUGGGCGACAGCCUGAUGGAGCAACGCCGCGUGGGUGAAGAAGGUCUUCGGAUCGUAAAACCCUGUUGUUAGAGAAGAAAGUGCGUGAGAGUAACUGUUCACGUUUCGACGGUAUCUAACCAGAAAGCCACGGCUAACUACGUGCCAGCAGCCGCGGUAAUACGUAGGUGGCAAGCGUUAUCCGGAUUGAUUGGGCGUAAAGGGAACGCAGGCGGUCUUUUAAAUCUGAUGUGAAAGCCUUCGGCGUAACCGUAGCAGUGCAUUGGGAA
rnacentral:rRNA from 1 species